CAGGCCUAACACAUGCAAGUCGAGCGGAUGACGGGAGCUUGCUCCUGUAUUCAGCGGCGGACGGGUGAGUAAUGCCUAGGAAUCUGCCUGAUAGUGGGGGACAACGUUUCGAAAGGAACGCUAAUACCGCAUACGUCCUACGGGAGAAAGCAGGGGACCUUCGGGCCUUGCGCUAUCAGAUGAGCCUAGGUCGGAUUAGCUUGUUGGUGAGGUAAUGGCUCACCAAGGCGACGAUCCGUAACUGGUCUGAGAGGAUGAUCAGUCACACUGGAACUGAGACACGGUCCAGACUCCUACGGGAGGCAGCAGUGGGGAAUAUUGGACAAUGGGCGAAAGCCUGAUCCAGCCAUGCCGCGUGUGUGAAGAAGGUCUUCGGAUUGUAAAGCACUUUAAGUUGGGAGGAAGGGUUGUAGAUUAAUACUCUGCAAUUUUGACGUUACCGACAGAAUAAGCACCGGCUAACUCUGUGCCAGCAGCCGCGGUAAU
rnacentral:rRNA from 1 species